rnacentral:tRNA from 1 species
CGGGAUGUAGCGCAGCCCGGUAGCGCGCUUCGUUCGGGACGAAGAGGUCGGCAGUUCGAAUCUGCCCAUCCCGA